UAGGAUUUUAAGUUAUUUAAACUAAAGGCCUUCAAAGCCUUAAAAAAAAGCAAGCUCUUUUAAAUCCUAA
rnacentral:tRNA from 1 species